GACGAACGCUGGCGGCGUGCUUGACACAUGCAAGUCGAACGGAAAGGCCUGCUUUCCCUUGUGGAUUGCGGGGACUCGAGUGGCGAACGGGUGAGUAACACGUGAGUGAUCUGCCCCCAACUUGUGUAUAAGCCUGGGAAACUGGGUCUAAUUCUCGAUAGGACUGCAGGGUGGUGCCUGUGGUGGAAAACUGUUUUCUAGUGGUUGGGGAUGAGGUCUCGGCUUGUCAGCUUGUUGGUGGGGUAAUGGACUACCAAGGCGGCGACGGGUAGCCGGAGUGAGAGGAUGGACAGCGACACUGGGACUGAGACACGGCCCAGACGCCAACGAGAGGCAGCAGAGGGGAAUAUGAGACCAUGGGCGGAAGCCUGAUGCAGCGACGCCGUGUGGGAGAUGACGGGCUUGGGGUUGUAUACUCCUUUCGACCACGAGCAGGCCACCUGGAUGGAAGGGUGGUGACGGUAGUGGUAGAAGAAGCACCGGCUAACUACGUG
rnacentral:rRNA from 1 species